UGAGGAAUAUUGGUCAAUGGGCGAGAGCCUGAACCAGCCAAGUAGCGUGAAGGAUGACUGCCCUAUGGGUUGUAAACUUCUUUUAUAUGGGAAUAAAGUAUUCCACGUGUGGGAUUUUGUAUGUACCAUAUGAAUAAGGAUCGGCUAACUCCGUGCCAGCAGCCGCGGUAAUACGGAGGAUCCGAGCGUUAUCCGGAUUUAUUGGGUUUAAAGGGAGCGUAGGUGGACAGUUAAGUCAGUUGUGAAAGUUUGCGGCUCAACCGUAAAAUUGCAGUUGAUACUGGCUGUCUUGAGUACAGUAGAGGUGGGCGGAAUUCGUGGUGUAGCGGUGAAAUGCUUAGAUAUCACGAAGAACUCCGAUUGCGAAGGCAGCUCACUGGACUGCAACUGACACUGAUGCUCGAAAGUGUGGGUAUCAAACAGG
rnacentral:rRNA from 1 species